rnacentral:rRNA from 1 species
CUUGACAUCCAGCGAACUUUCCAGAGAUGGAUUGGUGCCUUCGGGAGCGCUGAGACAGGUGCUGCAUGGCUGUCGUCAGCUCGUGUUGUGAAAUGUUGGGUUAAGUCCGCAACGAGCGCAACCCUUAUCCUUUGUUGCCAGCGAUUCGGUCGGGAACUCAAAGGAGACUGCCGGUGAUAAACCGGAGGAAGGUGGGGAUGACGUCAAGUCAUCAUGGCCCUUACGAGUAGGGCUACACACGUGCUACAAUGGCGCAUACAAAGAGAAGCGACCUCGCGAGAGCAAGCGGACCUCAUAAAGUGCGUCGUAGUCCGGAUCGGAGUCUGCAACUCGACUCCGUGAAGUCGGAAUCGCUAGUAAUCGUGGAUCAGAAUGCCACGGUGAAUACGUUCCCGGGCCUUGUACACACCGCCCGUCACACCAUGGGAGUGGGUUGCAAAAGAAGUAGGUAGCUUAACCCUCGGGAGGGCGCUUACCACUUUGUGAUUCAUGACUGGGGUGAAGUCGUAACAAGGUAAGCGUACGUGU